rnacentral:rRNA from 1 species
UACGUAGGGACCAAGCGUUGUUCGGAUUUACUGGGCGUAAAGGGAGCGUAGGCGGCAAUUCAAGUCAGUUGUGAAAUCUCCGAGCUUAACUCGGAACGGUCAACUGAUACUGUUUUGCUAGAGUACAGAAGGGGCAAUCGGAAUUCUUGGUGUAGCGGUGAAAUGCGUAGAUAUCAAGAGGAACACCUGAGGUGAAGACGGGUUGCUGGGCUGAUACUGACGCUGAGGCUCGAAAGCUAGGGUAGCAAACGGG